rnacentral:rRNA from 1 species
GAGGAAUAUUGGUCAAUGGACGCAAGUCUGAACCAGCCACGUCGCGUGAAGGAAGACGGCCCUACGGGUUGUAAACUUCUUUUAUACGGGAAUAAAGUGCCCCACGUGUGGGGUUUUGCAUGUACCGUAUGAAUAAGGAUCGGCUAACUCCGUGCCAGCAGCCGCGGUAAUACGGAGGAUCCGAGCGUUAUCCGGAUUUAUUGGGUUUAAAGGGUGCUCAGGCGGGGGGUUAAGUCGGCGGUGAAAUUUUGCAGCUCAACUGUAAAAGUGCCUUCGAAACUGGUUCCCUUGAGUGCGGAUGAGGUAGGCGGAAUUUGUGGUGUAGCGGUGAAAUGCAUAGAUAUCACGAAGAACUCCAAUUGCGAAGGCAGCUCACUGGAGUGUAACAGACGCUGAUGCUCGAAAGUGUGGGUAUCAAACA